AUCAUCUCAGCAAGAAAGAGGUGCUGAGCCGGUGUUAAGUAAGGAAUGAAGCUCCUCCUCUGAUAAAGCCCUGUCCCUCUCCCUUUCCUGGGUUGGGAGCUGGUGAAAUGAGGAUUCGUCAAUCAAGAAAAUUUCAAUAGAUGGCUCUUGUGUUUGAAGGCCAAAAAAUGUAACAGAACUUUCUGAGAGACGAAAUGUUCAUGGGAGGAAGAAAAAACAAACAUGGGAGGAGAAAAACUGUAUGAGGAACUCUACAGGUGUUAAGUCACAGAGGGCCAGUGAGCACAUCCUCUAAAUUCCACAGAACCUGAGAAUCUGCAAGGAGAUCCCACAGACCCUAGGAGCCUCCUCAUGGUUUCCUGGCCAAUCCAUGACUGUACAACCUCUCUCUCAGACUUGGCUGCACAGGUCUUGCAUGACCAUUUGGUCUAAUACAGAUUCAGUUUAAUAUAAUGAUACAGACACAUCAUCAUUAUUCUAAGCUUACCAUGAUGCAUUGUUAAAAGAUGGGAAAACUUAAGAACACAUUUUUAAAAUAAAAAGCAUA